rnacentral:rRNA from 1 species
AUUGAACGCUGGCGGCAGGCCUAACACAUGCAAGUCGAGCGGAUGAAGGGAGCUUGCUCCUGGAUUCAGCGGUGGACGGGUGAGUAAUGCCUAGGAAUCUGCCUGGUAGUGGGGGAUAACGUCCGGAAACGGGCGCUAAUACCGCAUACGUCCUGAGGGAGGAAGUGGGGGAUCUUCGGACCUCACGCUAUCAGAUGAGCCUAGGUCGGAUUAGCUAGUUGGUGGGGUAAAGGCCUACCAAGGCGACGAUCCGUAACUGGUCUGAGAGGAUGAUCAGUCACACUGGAACUGAGACACGGUCCAGACUCCUACGGGAGGCAGCAGUGGGGAAUAUUGGACAAUGGGCGAAAGCCUGAUCCAGCCAUGCCGCGUGUGUGAAGAAGGUCUUCGGAUUGUAAAGCACUUUAAGUUGGGAGGAAGGGCAGUAAGUUAAUACCUUGCUGUUUUGACGUUACCAACAGAAUAAGCACCGGCUAACUUCGUG